rnacentral:rRNA from 1 species
GACGAACGCUGGCGGCGUGCUUAACACAUGCAAGUCGAACGGAAAGGCUCCAGCUUGCUGGAGUACUCGAGUGGCGAACGGGUGAGUAACACGUGGGUAAUCUGCCCUGCACUCUGGGAUAAGCCUGGGAAACUGGGUCUAAUACUGGAUAUGACCUUUCUCCUUAUGGGGUUUGGUGGAAAGUUUUUCGGUGUAGGAUGAGCCCGCGGCCUAUCAGCUUGUUGGUGGGGUGAUGGCCUACCAAGGCGACGACGGGUAGCCGGCCUGAGAGGGUGAUCGGCCACAUUGGGACUGAGAUACGGCCCAGACUCCUACGGGAGGCAGCAGUGGGGAAUAUUGCACAAUGAGCGGAAGCCAGAUGCAGCGACGCCGCGUGAGGGAUGACGGCCUUCGGGUUGUAAACCUCUUUCAGCAGGGACGAAGCGUAAGUGACGGUACCUGCAGAAGAAGCACCGGCUAACUAUGUG